rnacentral:lncRNA from 13 species
AUGUGGAUGCCAGCUUCUCCCUUGAGUUGUCUCUUUCCUAUUCUCAGCUUCCAGCCCCAAACACACUCAGUGCACAGGUCUUUUGUGUCACACUUGCCAGUCUUCCUUGCCUGCUCUUAUGUAAAUCAAAUUCACCACUCUGUCCUGUUUUGUUUCCAUCUCCUCUUCACUCAAUACCCAGACUCCCUCAGGACUGUGUUGCUUCUGACUUUGAAUGAGUUCUUUUCUCCCAGGCUGCAGGGACCACAGAGGUCUUCCUCCUAUUACUUCACGGACUGUAUGAAUUGCAUCCAGCCGGUGACAUCAUGGCAGUACCUUCGGCAUCAGACAGGAAGAUGUGGAAGAAAAGCUGGGAAGAGUGCUGAAAAGAGGUGAGGUGGCGAAACUAUUGAAGAUGGGCAAUGGGAAGAACAAUCUGGAACCAACCAGGAUGGAAAGUAUUUUGCUGGUCUUCAAUGGGAUGCCUCUUUCUUUCGCUGUGGCCUUCUGGGAGCCCAGGAUCACUUUCAAGGGAACCGUGCCGCAGAUUCUGAUUGUUCACAUUGAAGAUCUUAGCUCUGACUCUUGACAACUGUGUGCACGUGAGCACUUUGUUGAUGUCUUUAGGCCCCAGAUAGAAAAAGGUAUGACACCUGAGAGGCAAAGAGAAGCGUUCCUGUAUUAAGAGGUGAGUGGAUACAAAUGAAGCCCUAGAAGGCUGAGCUAAGAAAGAAAACGGGUCGGUGUGGUUGACUCUGAUUACUUCUCCUUCCUGUCCUCACUUCUAGUCAGCUUCUUCAUUUUCAGGUGACAUUCAUCACCCUGCUUCUACACCUGGGAGCCAGCUCUGCUGGGGGUGGUUUAGAAGUGUGAAAGGGGAAGAGGAGGUCUCUUUUGAAACACUGGUUGCACUGCAGACGGACAAGCUUCCAUUUAUUUUCCAGUGGAAAACCAUAUUGUUUCCUCUCACUCUCUUCCAGCAAGAACUAUCUAGGAAAGGACGAGGACCAAAUUAUCGAGUCUUUGGAUCUAAUCCAUGUGGCAUCCCAUCUGUGAGCCUCAGGGAGAUGCGAAGUUGGCCAGUGCUGGAGGCCAAUCGUAUUUAUACCAUUUCCAUAUGGCGCCUUUUGAUUGAGACUUGGCAAGCACAUGAGUAAGUUUACUUUCCUUUUUUAAAAAGCUAUAUUUGUUCUCAACACUGUAAUGUCUAAUGUCUAAAAAUGUCUCUUAAUUAUUAUACUUGUAACAAGGAUAAUAAGAUUGGGCAAGCUUGAAUAGCAUUUAGUUUGGGACCUCUUAGAAUGUCAGAGCUUUGGGGAAUUGCCUUCCUGGGGUGGACCUUUUCCUGAAAGGAAUGGAUGGCCCCAUUGCUGGUGAACUUGGACUAUAAGUCACU